rnacentral:RNase_P_RNA from 1 species
UUAGGGGAGGAAAGUCCGGGCUUCACAGAGCAGGGUGCCGGCUAACGGCCGGUGAAGGCGACUUUAAGGAAAGUGCAACAGAAAUAAACCGCCGAUUUUUCGGUAAGGAUGGAAAGGCGAGGCAAGAGCUCACCGCUUCUUCGGUAACGCAGAAGGCUAUGUAAACCCCACCUGAAGCAAGGCUGAAUAAGACACAUGGAGCUGCUCGUUCCGUCUUGAAUAGCCGCAUGAUGACACUGGCAACAGUGUACCAAGAUAGAUGAUAGUUUAAUACAGAACCCGGCUUACGGCUUGC